rnacentral:rRNA from 1 species
GCGGCGUGCCUAAUACAUGCAAGUCGAGCGGAGUUGAUGAGAAGCUUGCUUCUCUGAUACUUAGCGGCGGACGGGUGAGUAACACGUAGGCAACCUGCCCUCAAGCUUGGGACAACUACCGGAAACGGUAGCUAAUACCGAAUACAUGAUUUGUUCGCCUGAACGAAUUUGGAAAGACGGAGCAAUCUGUCACUUGAGGAUGGGCCUGCGGCGCAUUAGCUAGUUGGUGAGGUAACGGCUCACCAAGGCGACGAUGCGUAGCCGACCUGAGAGGGUGAUCGGCCACACUGGGACUGAGACACGGCCCAGACUCCUACGGGAGGCAGCAGUAGGGAAUCUUCCGCAAUGGACGCAAGUCUGACGGAGCAACGCCGCGUGAGUGAUGAAGGUUUUCGGAUCGUAAAGCUCUGUUGCCAGGGAAGAACGUCUGAGUUAGUAACUGAACUCAGAGUGACGGUACCUGAGAAGAAAGCCCCGGCUAACUACGUG